CCGUGCACGUCUUCCAAGAUGCUUCAGUAACUGGAGCCCGCUAUUGUACCAAGGUUCUUCUUCCUCAAGGGCGUCUUUUUAAAGGUGCUGUGAGUGCAUCUUCAUGGACGAUAAUGUUUACACCUUUUCGUACAGUGGCUGUCACAGAGCUGUUUGAGAGAGAAGAUAUUGGACGCAUGGAAUGGCCGACGAGGUCCCCGGAUUUUAAGACAAUUGAACAUGAACAGCACUACAGCAGGAUUGGGCAGCAAUUUCUCAAGAGCUUCUCAGCAACCUGGUCCUCAUCAUGUGCAGACGAUGUCAAUCCUACAUAGAUGUGAUCAUUACUAAAGAUUAACAGCGAAGAUUAUGGAGAAGCAUUGGCUCUUGCUCAGACCUCUUAUUUAGAUACUGAUCUUGUGUACCAGUGUCAGUGGAGAAAAAUGCCACCUACUGUUGAGACUAUUCAUGAUUAUUUGGUAAGACUGACAUUAUUUACCUUCAAAUUGUUUCUCUAUUUAACACAUUAUAAAGUAUUUAUCAUUAUGUUUUACAGGAAUCGUCGUUGAACAAUGAGUUUUUUAUAAUCUAGUUAGUAUAAAUCUAACAUUUCAGUACUAGGUACUCUUCUAAGGAUGUAGAUCAUCUUUUUCUCUUUCAGAAAACUUGAUCGAUUAAAAAGUUUUAAAGAG